UACGUAGGUGGCGAACGUUGUCCGGAUUUACUGGGCGUAAAGCGCGCGCAGGCGGACUGAUAAGUCAGAGGUGAAAUCUCCCGGCUCAACUGGGAGGGGCCCUUUGAUACUGUCAGUCUUGAGAUGCCUAGAGGAGAGUGGAAUUCCCGGUGUAGUGGUGGAAUGCGUAGAUAUCGGGAGGAACACCAGUGGCGAAAGCGACUCUCUGGGGGCGAUCUGACGCUGAGGCGCGAAAGCGUGGGGAGCAAACCGGAUUAGAUACCCGGGUAGUCCACGCCGUAAACGAUGAGUACUAGCUGUAUGGGGUAUCGACUCCCUGUGUAGCGAAGCUAACGCGAUAAGUACUCCGCCUGGGGACUACGGCCGCAAGGCUA
rnacentral:rRNA from 1 species